UUUGGUAUCGAGACGAGCGAAGCUAGUGGCGAACGGGUGCGUAUCACAUGAGUCAUCUGCCCAGAAGUGGGGAAUAUCUCGGCGAAAGCCGGAUUAAUACCGCAUGUGGUCGUAAGACCAAAGCCGGGGCAACCUGGCGCUUUUGGAGGAGCUCGUGGCCUAUCAGCUAGUUGGUGAGGUAACGGCUUACCAAUGCAACGACGGGUAGCUGGUCUGAUAGGACGACCAGCCUCUCUGGAUCUGAUAUACGGUCCAGACACCUACGGGUGGCAGCAGUCGAGAAUUUUUCUCAAUGGGGGAAACCCUGAAUGAUCGACGCCGCGUGGAGGAUGAAUGCUUUCGGGUUGUAAACUCCUGUCAUUUGGGAACAAGGCCUUACGUUAACUGCGUGGAGGAUUGAUAUUACCAUACUAUGACUAGACGGCUAUCUCUGUGCCAUCAGCCGCUGUAAU
rnacentral:rRNA from 1 species